CUAGUAACUGCGAGUGAAGCGGGAAAAGCUCAAAUUUGAAAUCUGGCAGUCUUUUUUUUCUUCUUUGGCUGUCCGAGUUGUAAUCUAGAGAAGUGCUUACCUGCACUGGACCAUGUAUAAGUCUCCUGGAAUGGAGCGUCGCAGAGGGUGAGAAUCCCGUCUUUGACAUGGACUGCCAGUGUGUUGUGGUGUGCUCUCAAAGAGUCGAGUUGUUUGGGAAUGCAGCUCUAAAUGGGUGGUAAACUCCAUCUAAAGCUAAAUAUUGGCGAGAGACCGAUAGCGAACAAGUACCGUGAGGGAAAGAUGAAAAGGACUUUGGAAAGAGAGUUAAACAGUAUGUGAAAUUGUUGAAAGGGAAACGCUUGAAGUCAGUUAUGUCGGCUAGGGAUCAACCUAGCUGUCUUUGCUGGGUGAAUUUCCUAGUCUGGCAGGCCAACAUCAGUCUUGACUGCUGGAAAAGAGCGGAGGGAAUGUGGCACCUUUGGGUGUGUUAUAGCCCUUUGUCAUGUGUGCCAGUCGGGACUGAGGGAUGCAGCGUGCCGUGAGGCUGGGUUUCGACCAUGUUCACGCUUAGGAUGUUGGCUUUUAAUGGCUUCAAUCGACCCGUCUUGAAACACGGACCAAGGAGUCUAACAUGCCUGCGAGUGUUUGGGUGGAAAACCCUUGUGCACAAUGAAAGUGAAAGUUGAGAUCCCUGUCAUGGGGAGCAUCGACGCCCGGACUUGAGCUUUUAGCGAUGGAUCCGCGGUAGAGCAUGCAUGUUGGGACCCGAAAGAUGGUGAACUAUGCCUGAAUAGGGCAAAGCCAGAGGAAACUCUGGUGGAGGCUCGUAGCGAUUCUGACGUGCAAAUCGAUCGUCAAAUUUGGGUAUAGGGGCGAA
rnacentral:rRNA from 1 species